AAAAAUAGAUCAAUGAAAAGUUUGUGCGAUAAGUUUAGCGAAUUUUUUCUAUAUUAUAGAUUAUAGGAAAACGGGCCAAAACUUAUCUUUCUUUAAUUUCAUUUUGAAUUUCAUUUUAUUUUAAAAAUGUAAGAAAAAGCCCCUUCGUUAGAAAUUAGAAGUUAGAAAAGGCACACUAGAAAAAACGAAGGAUGGCUGGAAUCUACACAGUGAUUUUUUUUCGCAAUUUUUGUUGAACCGUAUGCAUCAAAAGGUGCCUGUACGGCUACUAAGGGAUACAAUUUUAUCCUAAUCAACCGACUUUAUUGAGAAA
rnacentral:lncRNA from 1 species